UACGUAGGGUGCAAGCGUUAAUCGGAAUUACUGGGCGUAAAGCGUGCGCAGGCGGUUCGCUAAGACAGAUGUGAAAUCCCCGGGCUUAACCUGGGAACUGCAUUUGUGACUGGCGGGCUAGAGUAUGGCAGAGGGGGGUAGAAUUCCACGUGUAGCAGUGAAAUGCGUAGAGAUGUGGAGGAAUACCGAUGGCGAAGGCAGCCCCCUGGGCCCAAUACUGACGCUCAUGCACGAAAGCGUGGGGAGCAAACGAG
rnacentral:rRNA from 1 species